CACGUAGGCGGAUGUGUCAGUCAGGGGUGAAAUCCCGGGGCUCAACCUCGGAACUGCCUUUGAUACAGCACGUCUUGAGUCCGAUAGAGGUGGGUGGAAUUCCUAGUGUAGGGGUGAAAUUCGUAGAUAUUAGGAAGAACACCGGUGGCGAAGGCGGCCCACUGGAUCGGUACUGACGCUGAGGUGCGAAAGCGUGGGGAGCAAACA
rnacentral:rRNA from 1 species